CAGAGGCUACUACAUGUGCAGAUGUGAAGUGCAGAUGUCCAACUCGAAUGGGAGGAAGAGUGAAAAGGAAGGCAAGCUUAGAGUCCUUGCACACAGGAAACGAUGCAGAUCUUACCUCCCCCAGAAUCCUUGAAACCUUUAUCUGAACAUAUCUAGGAUCUCAAAUCAAAGAGGCAACAGAAAACCAUGACCUGAAUAACUGAGAAUCUCCAUAAACCUGAUCUUGACCAGCUGGGCAUUUGACUACAAAAAGGAAACUCUUCAGUCUGACACAACAAAAGCAACAGGAAAAAUUACAGAAAACAAGGAGAAUUUUUUUCUAUUUGUUUUGUUUACCAAAUGUGACUUCCAAACUAUGUGACACCCACCUUCAAAUAAAUUAUUUCCUCUGGA